rnacentral:rRNA from 1 species
AUGCUGACAUAAGUAACGAUAAAGCGGGUGAAAAGCCCGCUCGCCGGAAGACCAAGGGUUCCUGUCCAACGUUAAUCGGGGCAGGGUGAGUCGACCCCUAAGGCGAGGCCGAAAGGCGUAGUCGAUGGGAAACAGGUUAAUAUUCCUGUACUUGGUGUUACUGCGAAGGGGGGACGGAGAAGGCUAUGUUGGCCGGGCGACGGUUGUCCCGGUUUAAGCGUGUAGGCUGGUUUUCCAGGCAAAUCCGGAAAAUCAAGGCCGAGGCGUGAUGACGAGGCACUACGGUGCUGAAGCAACAAAUGCCCUGCUUCCAGGAAAAGCCUCUAAGCAUCAGGUAACAUCAAAUCGUACCCCAAACCGACACAGGUGGUCAGGUAGAGAAUACCAAGGCGCUUGAGAGAACUCGGGUGAAGGAACUAGGCAAAAUGGUGCCGUAACUUCGGGAGAAGGCACGCUGAUACGUAGGUGAAGCGACUUGCUCGUGGAGCUGAAAUCAGUCGAAGAUACCAGCUGGCUGCAACUGUUUAUUAAAAACACAGCACUGUGCAAACACGAAAGUGGACGUAUACGGUGUGACGCCUGCCCGGUGCCGGAAGGUUAAUUGAUGGGGUUAGCGCAAGCGAAGCUCUUGAUCGAAGCCCCGGUAAACGGCGGCCGUAACUAUAACGGUCCUAAGGUAGCGAAAUUCCUUGUCGGGUAAGUUCCGACCUGCACGAAUGGCGUAAUGAUGGCCAGGCUGUCUCCACCCGAGACUCAGUGAAAUUGAACUCGCUGUGAAGAUGCAGUGUACCCGCGGCAAGACGGAAAGACCCCGUGAACCUUUACUAUAGCUUGACACUGAACAUUGAGCCUUGAUGUGUAGGAUAGGUGGGAGGCUUUGAAGUGUGGACGCCAGUCUGCAUGGAGCCGACCUUGAAAUACCACCCUUUAAUGUUUGAUGUUCUAACGUGGACCCGUGAUCCGGGUUGCGGACAGUGUCUGGUGGGUAGUUUGACUGGGGCGGUCUCCUCCUAAAGAGUAACGGAGGAGCACGAAGGUUGGCUAAUCCUGGUCGGACAUCAGGAGGUUAGUGCAAUGGCAUAAGCCAGCUUGACUGCGAGCGUGACGGCGCGAGCAGGUGCGAAAGCAGGUCAUAGUGAUCCGGUGGUUCUGAAUGGAAGGGCCAUCGCUCAACGGAUAAAAGGUACUCCGGGGAUAACAGGCUGAUACCGCCCAAGAGUUCAUAUCGACGGCGGUGUUUGGCACCUCGAUGUCGGCUCAUCACAUCCUGGGGCUGAAGUAGGUCCCAAGGGUAUGGCUGUUCGCCAUUUAAAGUGGUACGCGAGCUGGGUUUAGAACGUCGUGAGACAGUUCGGUCCCUAUCUGCCGUGGGCGCUGGAGAACUGAGGGGGGCUGCUCCUAGUACGAGAGGACCGGAGUGGACGCAUCACUGGUGUUCGGGUUGUCAUGCCAAUGGCACUGCCCGGUAGCUAAAUGCGGAAGAGAUAAGUGCUGAAAGCAUCUAAGCACGAAACUUGCCCCGAGAUGAGUUCUCCCUGACCCUUUAAGGGUCCUGAAGGAACGUUGAAGACGACGACGUUGAUAGGCCGGGUGUGUAAGCGCAGCGAUGCGUUGAGCUAACCGGUACUAAUGAACCGUGAGGCUUAACCUUACAACGCCGAAG